rnacentral:lncRNA from 1 species
GCGUGAUGAGCCUAAAAAGUCCACAGAUACCAAGUUGUCAAAGAAAGGAAAGGUAUAGAUGAGUUGUAGGAAAUGUGGUGGGAUUGACCACAAUAAAAGGACAUGUAAAGCAACAACCACUAUUGAGGUAAUGUUUUUUUUUUUUUUGGUAGUUAUUUGUCAGCUUAUGAACCCAACAUAUAUACUAAUGCAUUGAUCUUGUAUUAAAAGACAAAUGGGCUGAAGAGGCCAAG